rnacentral:rRNA from 1 species
GGAGGUCACUGCUAUUGGGAUUCGACUAAGCCAUGCGAGUCGAGAGGGUUCGGCCCCCGGCUGACGGCUCAGUAACACGUGGAUAAUCUGCCCUUAGGUGGAGGAUAAUCUCGGGAAACUGAGGAUAAUACUCCAUAGAUCUAGGAUGCUGGAAUGCAUCUAGAUUGAAAGCUCCGGCGCCUAAGGAUGAGUCUGCGGACUAUCAGGUUGUAGUCAGGGUAAAGACCUGACUAGCCUACGACGGAUACGGGUUGUGAGAGCAAUAACCCGGAGACGAUAUCUGAGACACGAUAUCGGGCCCUACGGGGCGCAGCAGGCGCGAAAACUUCACACUGUGCGAAAGCGCGAUGAGGGAAUCCCAAGUGUUUGCUCGUAAGAGUAAACUGUUUCUUUGUUUAAAACGCAGAGAGAGUAAGGGCUGGGUAAGACGGGUGCCAGCCGCCGCGGUAAUACCUGCAGCUCAAGUGGUGAUCAUUAUUAUUGGGCCUAAAACGUCCGUAGCC